UGUGAUUGGUCUGUGUGAGCUGGAGAGAAAGGCACCUUCCUGGUUGCUUCCUAAGGCAUCUUUGAACAUGCCAAAUGGAUCUUUCUCCCUUGGAUAGUCUCACACGCCCUUCUCCUUAACUUGUCUCCCAAGACAUGAUCAGACUUGGCUGUACGGAUGUCAUGACCGUACACCUUGUGCCCUAAGAUUGCACAUUCCUCAAAUGUGCUCAAGUGGUCUACCUGAUAAGUUUUGGGUCGAUCAUGUCCGUACGGUCCGUACCAUCCGUACGUCCGUCCGUACAGGCCGAUCCCUAACUUUGCACCAUCGACCAUAAUCUCCCAAACUCCUCCAAUGUCUUGUAUACACCUUCAAGAAACUUCUUAGAUCUUGUCUCUUCUUUGCAUCAGCUUCUAAUCACUUCUGAAGCUUGAUUGAACUUUUCUGGACAUCUUCUAGAGCUUGCCCUUUUAUUGUACAAGCUCUAUCUUCUCUUCAGUUCAACA
rnacentral:lncRNA from 1 species